GUUCCCUGCGGCGGGGCGGGAGCCGCCGUAGCGCCGGGCGCUGCUGCAGCGGUGGGGAACCUGUUGCCUCCCCGCCAGCGCCUCGCGGCUGAGGCGUUACGAGUUGCUUCCGGCCUCGUCUUUCCUCCUACAAAUUCCUCGGAGAAUACCCGUCAUCCUGCUGAGGGGCAUCCCACCUGCAGCCCUCACCUCCGGAGAGGGGCACCUGGGGCACAUCGGCUGGUGCCGGCGGCUCGAAGCAGGGCACCGUGCGUAGUGGCGGCGGAAGGAGGAGCAGCAGAGAGCGGCAGACGGUGGCUCCCUAGGUGUGGCAUGGCAACCAGAGUGUGAUCAUGGCAGCUGAGGCCUGCAACCCCUCUGAAGGGAGCUUAGUCCCUGCUCCCUUGAAUGACUCUGAUAAGCUCAAUAGAUCCUACCCCUGGGCCAGCAAGGGCAGGAAAAGUCAGCUCUCUGAACUCUGCCGGCUUAGAGCAUCUCUGUCUGGGGAGAAAUGGAGCUCUUACUGUUUGUCUUCACUAGCAGCUCGUAACAUCUGUACCAGCAGAAGUGGUAACUCAUGUGCUUGGUGGGAUUCUGCCUCUCUCUCCACUUCCAUUGGAAGUUCUGCUUCUUCCUCCUUUUUGCAUGCCCUUGCCGUGGAUGAAUCCAGCCAGCACCUCCCAACUGCUGCACGCAAUCCAAACAAAGCCAUCUUCACCGUGGACGUCAACACCACAGAGAUCCUAGUGGCUAAUGACAAAGCCUGCAAGCUGCUCGGGUGCAGUAGUCAGGAGCUCAUCGGUCAAAAGCUGUCCCACUUCAUAUCCAAAUCCAGCCAGGAGGUCUGGGAAGCUGUGGGAGAGGAGUACUUAGAAACUGAUGAAUGUUCAACAGUGACUUCGGGAACUGUGGUGGAUGUUAUAGGCCGUCUCAAAGAGAAGAUCCCUGUCUCAGUCUGGCUGAGGCGAAUAAGAAGCAAGGACAACCAGUGUUGUGUGAUUGUGCUGGAACCAGUGGAGAGACUUUCAGCUUCCGUUUCCUUCAGGGCUGACGGAGAGAUAAUAUCAUGUGACCUCCUUUUUGCCCGUCUCCAUGGCUACCCAACACUGGAAGAAGUAGUUGGGCUCCACGUAAAGGACCUGAUUCCUUCUGUGCAGAUCCCUCUUCUAGGCAAAAAGAUCCCUAAGAACCUCAGGAUCCAGCAAGCUGUAGGCCGAUCCAGAGAGGGUAACAUGUUUCCUCUCAGUUUAAAGCUGCAAGUAAGCCUUCUGGAAGAGGAGCAAGCAGCCAUGCAGAAGGACGGUGUUUCACAGACAGAAGAAGGCAGCUCUUUCACAGGCUGUCAUUACUCUGCUACAGUCCUGGUUUUCUCCACCAUCAGUGGUCUUAUUACUGUCCGGUCAGAUGGAACCAUCUGUGGCAUCAAGGAUAGUUUCGCUUUGAUGCUCUUUGGCUAUGAGAAGAAAGAACUCUUAGGAAAGAACAUUACAUUCCUGAUCCCCGGUUUCUAUAACAACAUGGAGAGAAGCAGUGACUGUUCUUUGCCAUUACCUCCUCUUGACGACUCCACGGGGACAGAGAGUGAGUGCAUAUUUGAAGGUGUUCCUGCCUUCUGUACAACUGGCUCUGGCUGCUGGAAGAAAGGCAGCAGCUUGACUGCAUCUCUAGCAAGCCUUCUGUCAAGAGAUGAAGAGCAGCAAUUGGAACAGAGACACAAAGAUGACAAAUUAAUACAUGAUGAGAUUAAGCAAAAGAAUGAGACCAGUUUUUUUUCUCCUCCCUUACCUCCUGAAGCAGCAUCCACACCCUCUAAUAGUGAAGACAGCGUUGCUACCGCUGGGCUGUCAGCCCACUGCAGAGCGCCUUACCCUGAAACCUGGCUUGAUAGAAUGAGAUCAGUGGAACAGUGCGGAACAGUGGAAACUGCAGCAUCAAAUAAUUCUCAGAAGAUGCUCUCUGCAAGGCCGUCUCCCAUGUCAUCUGAUUCAGAGCAGUUGGAUUUAGGUCAGAACAUGAAGAUUCCAGCAAGAAGCAGUGAUAACGCAGUAUCUGCUGCCUCUGAGACACAAAGUGCCAGUGAGACUAGUAGCUUGCCUAACCAAUUACAAGUUCAUCAUCGAGAGCUCAAGGAAAUAAAUUGUCAGCAGGUCUGUAGCUUACCGUAUGAAAUGCUGAAGCAUCAGCACACCACUGACGCCUGGGGACAAGCUUCUUCAGUAAAUGUUGCCUGGUUGCCUGUUUGCUCUAGGCUAGAAGACAAUCUAGAUACUGCAUCCUGUGGCCCAAUUAAGCUGCCUUCUGAUGUUACGUGUAACUCACCUGGAACACCAACAGUAGAUGAGCCAUGGUCUGGGACAACACUGGACUGCAGGCAAGACUUUCAAAGCCACAUAGUUACAGGGCAGUUGUCAAAAACAAACUUGUUAUGUGAUACAAAACAUUCCAGCCUUGAGCAUUUUGUUAUUGAAAACUGCCUGCUAAAUGAUACUUCAUCCUUCUUUGCAAAGGGAAGAAAUAAUAUCCAUGAUGUUUGCUCAGGAUAUAAAAUGGGUUGCAGUGCUUCUGCACCAGGAAUUGCCACAGCUUCUGUAGAUGGUAAUAAAUCAGACACUGGGCUGAACUGUAUUUGCUCUGGUCUUGAUGUGCUGGGUCUGAAUAUCGGUGUCAAGGAAAACUCAGAUAAUUGUUCAGGUAGUACUGCAGCUCUUGUAGGAGCAUCCUCCUCUAAUGCAGUGGACUCCACUGCAGGCAACAUGCUGACUCAGAAAACCAGUGCUUUUUCAACUGGGCAAGAAAAGCAGCUGUUGAAUGGUGUUGCUGUAGAAGAUGGUUCUGUGUGGCUGGGCUCGCCAAGGCAUUUAGAAAAGUCUCAAGAAUCCUCCAAAGCGUUUCUUGAGAGGAUGGAAACUCUUGCAGAGGCUGUGGGGGACAACAUUAACAGAAACCCACUUGAAAGCAGAGGUAGUCCUGAAGAAGACUGUCACUUGCAUGGGCAGCAAAAUAUGGAGCUACAAGUAACAUCAACCCCAGUGAAACAAGAAGGAAGGCCCAGUCCAGCAGCUUCUGUUACCCUGGAGAUUCUGGAAGGCAGCUAUGCUGGGAAUUGCUGUCACAGAGAUGGCUCACAAUUAAGUGUACUCUUUGAAGUGAAACGUGUAGAGCUGCAGGACCCUGCCAUACUUUUCUGUGUCUGUGUGGUGAAAGACCUUCUACAGAGCCAGAGGGAAGCUGUAGUAAGGACUCAGCUUUUGGUCUCCAGUCUAGCAAGCUCUGCCCAGUCUAUUGCAGAUCUUUCUACACAAAGUCUUGGAGAAGCCAUCAGAUCAGCUUCACUUUUUGAGAAUUCCCGAAGAGCUGAAGAGCUUGAAGGAUUAAGGGCAUGUGAGGGAGAAUACGCAAAAAAUUACAGCACUCUCAGUCUUAUUGGCAAAGGAUCUUUUGGCUUCGUCUGGACUGCCAGGGGCAAGAAGGAUCACCAGGAGGUUGUCGUAAAGUUCAUCUGGAAGGAGAGGGUGCUUGAGGACUGCUGGGUAGAUGAUCCUGAUCUGGGGAGAGUUACUCAAGAAAUCGCAAUCCUGUUGAAGCUGCAGCAUCCCAGUAUUAUUAAGGUGCUGAAUGUAUUUGAAAAUGAACACUUCUUCCAGCUGGUGAUGGAGAAGCAUGGAUCUGGUCUGGAUCUCUUUACAUUCAUUGAUAAUCAGCCCAACCUGGAUGAGCCAUUAGCAAGCUAUAUAUUCAGACAGUAUCGGAGGCACACGGUAACGUCCUUCUGGAGAAAUCAAAGAACCCUCCAAGUGAAGCUGGGAUAAAAAUAGAGUAACCGGCAGGAUUGUAACACUUGUAUCAGCUGUCGGGUAUCUCCACUGUAGAAACAUCCUUCACAGAGAUAUCAAGGAUGAAAACAUUGUCAUUGCUGAAGAUUUCACAAUUAAAUUAGUGGACUUUGGUUCAGCUGCCUACCUGGAACCUGGCAAAUUGUUUUAUACCUUCUGUGGAACAAUUGAAUACUGCUCACCAGAAGUGCUGUCUGGCAAACCGUACCAUGGCCCUGAGUUGGAGAUGUGGUCACUGGGUGUCACCCUUUAUACCCUGGUAUUUGGAGAGAAUCCCUUCUGUGAGCUGGAGGAGGCCGUGGCUGCUGUCCUGAAUCCUCCUCGGCCUGGCUCCAAAGGCCUCAUGGAUCUAAUCGCUGGGCUUUUGCAUCCUGUUCCAGAGCAGCGCAUGACUCUGGCCGUGUUAGUGGAGCAUUGCUGGCUGAAGCAGCCUGUGAACCUGGCUGACUACACCUGGGAAGAGGUGUACAUCUCUGCUGAGCCAGAAAGCAGCAAAGUGAGGAGCAGUUCUGGUGAGCGUGCCCACGCAGACAGUGUGAGCCGCGCCUGAACGCCCCCAGCUCUGCGUGUGGAUCCCUGCAGGGAAGCAGCAGCUGCAGGGAGCCUGGGCUGAGGCCUGGGGCACUGCGCAGCCCUUCUGCCGAACCCCAGCUCCCUGGCCACGGGACAUGCACUGUCGUUCAGGAAUCAACAGGAAUUAAUUGUAAGUGCUUCUCUCUUUGAGAAAGACCCUAUGGCCAGCGCAGGGCAGCCCUGGGCACGGCCACUCGAGAAAAGCUGCUGGCAAAUAAGCAUUUAUAAUUGCCUCACAGCUUUAAAACACAUCCUGUGUAAGAACAAAGAUUUUAACGUCUUGUUUGAAUUGUUCAUAACUCAGAAUGUAUUUUUAAUGGCUGUUUUUACUUUUCAUAUGUAGUUUCACUCUUUCUGAAAGUGAAUGAAUAAACACCUUUGUCUCAGGUGA